UCCGCCAUAGCUCAGUUGGUGGUAGCGCAUGACUGUUAAUCAUGAUGUCGUAGGUUCGAGUCCUACUGGCGGAG
rnacentral:tRNA from 1 species